AUACUUACCUGGAUGGGGUCAACGGGUGAUCAAGAAGGCUCGUGGCCUAGAUCAAUGGCUCACAUUGCACUUGGUGAGUGCGUUGGUCUACCAUCUCUUCAAGUGGGAGAGUGGACGUUGUAAUUUGUGGUAGAGGGGGUACGCGUUUGCGCGGCCCCUGC
rnacentral:snRNA from 1 species